CUUGGGAGGAGGGUGGGGUGGCUCCUUUGCAGUGAGUAGGUCUUCCUGGAGCUACUCCACCAUCUCCCCCAGCCCC
ensembl:miRNA